rnacentral:rRNA from 1 species
GUCUACGGCCAUACCAACCUGAACGCGCCCGAUCUCGUAAGCUAAGCAGGGUCGUGCCUGGUUAGUACUUGGAUGGGAGAAAAGACAUUCAUUCCUUGUGAGUUAUUAUAAAAAUCUGAAGUAU